rnacentral:rRNA from 1 species
UACAGAGGUCUCAAGCGUUUGUUCGGAUUCAUUGGGCGUAAAGGGUGCGUAGGUGGCGGGGUAAGUCUGGUGUGAAAUCUCGGGGCUCAACCCCGAAACUGCACUGGAUACUGCCUUGCUCGAGUACUGGAGAGGAGAUUGGAAUUUACGGUGUAGCAGUGAAAUGCGUAGAUAUCGUAAGGAAGACCAGUGGCGAAGGCGAAUCUCUGGACAGUUACUGACACUGAGGCACGAAGGCCAGGGGAGCAAACGGG